rnacentral:rRNA from 1 species
UACGUAGGGUGCGAGCGUUGUCCUGAAUUAUUGGGCGUAAAGAGCUCGUAGGCGGUGUGUCACGUCGGCCGUGAAAACCUGCAGCUUAACUGUGGGCGUGCGGUCGAUACGGGCAUCACUGGAGUUCGGCAGGGGAGACUGGAAUUCCUGGUGUAGCGGUGAAAUGCGCAGAUAUCAGGAGGAACACCGGUGGCGAAGGCGGGACUCUGGGCCGAUACUGACGCUGAGGAGCGAAAGCGUGGGGAGCGAACAGG